UUUACAUCUGGUUUCAAUUGUACUUGAUGUGAAAAAUACAUAGACAAAACUUAUUACAUCUGAUCAAAAUAUCCCCAGAUGAAAAGCUAAACGCGGUGGCAAUACUGUAAUUAUGGUGAAAAUUGUCUAAAAUAUGUUUACAUCUGGCCCAUUAUAUGCUUUGAUGUAAAACGUCUUAAAUGUAAUUUUUUAUUUUAUUUGAACGGAAAUUAAUAUAAACUUCACACAAAAAAAAAAAACUAGAACUCGUUCUCUCUCUCACACUCUCUCGAACCCUAGAUUUCCCUCAAAACAAAACCCAGAUCCUCUUCCCUGCCAUAAUUUUUCUUCGCCCUAGCUCUUCUUCGCCUUUGUUCGUCUUCGUCGUAGCUUCUGCCACCGCAGUUCCUUUUGUCGCCGCCAUAUCUCUUCCUCAACGAAGGGCAGCAAUACUCUAUUUUCACUUCUCAUAAACCCAUAGUGCUAUCUCAAAGUUUUUUAUGCUAAGGAAGUGUCAACUUGGUAGGAAGUGUCAACUUUGUCUUGCUGGAUUUCUUCACAUAAUUGAGGCUCUUGCAGAAUCUAUGAGACUUCUCAAACUCUUGCGAUUCUCCAUCAAUUCUUCACGGAGCAUUUGUGACGAUCUUCAAAAACUCUCGUGAUUCUUCGAUGGGAAGACAUAACUCUUGGUGUCCUUCCUUUCCAAUCGAAUUCACUCAUUAACAAUUAUAUAAUAUAUUACUAGAUUGUUAUAGAAUAUUAUAAAUGAGUCAGUUUUGUUUUAUAUUUUUUCUCAUUAUUGAGCCUAAUUAUGAUUAAGUUUGUUUCUCAUCCUUCCCCUUUUUCAAUAUUGAAUAAUUGUUUUUCCUGUUUAGUUAAAUAUUGGUUAUAUUGCCUCAUGCUACGCUUGAAAAUAUAAAAGUUUUCGGGGCGCAGCGCCAAGGCACGGGCAAUAUUUAUUGCGUUUAUGGGACUUUCCAACACCACUUGCUCAAAUCUACCCCUAAAUUAAUAUUGUGUAGGAGGCUUAAAAAAUGCAGCCUCAGCAACCUGGGUAUAACAGUUCGCGAGUUUACCUUGAUCUUCUUGCCGAUCUGCCCUGGCAGAAGGCCAGCGACGAGAUUGAAAUGGACUUAAGAGCUGCAUAAAAGCGACUGGACAGUGAUCACUAUGGUUUAGUGAAGGUCAAACAAAGAAUUAUUGAAUACCUAGCAGUUCGCAAGCUUAAACCAGAUGCAAGGGGUCCAGUGCUGUGCUUUGUUGGGCCACCAGGUGUCGGGAAAACAUCAUUGGCAUCUUCUAUUGCUGCUGCUUUGGGAAGAAAGUUUAUCCGCAUAUCCCCUGGUGGAGUCAAGGAUGAGGCCGAUAUUAGAGGACAUAGAAGAACAUAUGUUGGAAGCAUGCCUGGACGGCUUAUAGAUGGAUUAAAGAGGAUUAUGGUUUCUGCAAAGGUGUAGGGAGGGACAACAAUUACUAUAAGAUAAUUGCAAAUAGAAUUUCAUGCAUGUCCAUUAUAUACUUGGGUUAGUUCAAUUGAGGCUGCUCAACAAUAAAUAUCAUAAUUUCCAGGAAGUUUGGAUUACCGUGUUACGGAGGAAAUUUUGAUGGAUCGCGUAGCUACCAAUAUGCAUGAAGCAUGCCUGCAGAUUGACAAAGAAUGCAGGUUAGUGUAAAAGUUGUUUGGUCUCUCCUGCUGCAGCCUUUUGUUUCUAGUUCCAUUUCUUUAUUCAUCAAGUUAUUGAACAUGAGUGUGGAUGUUAGAGUUUCACAAAAGUAUUUGUAAAACUGAAGCAAUCAAAAUCAUGAUACCUCUCUUUUAUUCAUCAGGUUCUUUAGGAAGUGUAUUGUGAUUUUGUUAGUUUUAUAUGUGUAAUUACUUAUUGAUUAAUCAAAAGCAUGAUAUUCAUCGGGUUUGUGAUUUUGUAAAACUAAAAAUAUUUGCAGUAUCAUGUUCUUGAUUUUUAAUUUAGGAUUGGAUGUAUCAGUUCUUGAUUAUUGUAUGUUGUGAAGUUAUGUUUUGGAUGCUGGCCUGUGGGUUGGAUUUUAAAAAACAAAAAUGCAAGAUUUUUAAUUUUUUUUUUAUAAAAAAGUGACGAUUUUACAUCUGUGGAAAGCUUGGCCAUACGAAACAGAGGUAAAAAGUGUUGAUUUUACAUCUGGCGUAAGUCAGAUGUAAAACGCGUAAACUUACUACUUCUCGUGCGUCUACAUCUGACAGGCUUCAGAUGUAAAAUGGGUUUUUGGCCAGAUGUAAAAAGUGUUUUCUGU